AUACGGGGGGUGCAAGCGUUAUUCGGAUUUAUUGGGCGUAAAGGGCGCGUAGGCGGCUUGGAAAGUCAGAUGUGAAAGCCCGGGGCUCAACCCCGGAAGUGCAUUUGAAACUAUCAGGCUUGAGUAUGGGAGAGGGAAGUGGAAUUCCUGGUGUAGAGGUGAAAUUCGUAGAUAUCAGGAGGAACACCGGUGGCGAAGGCGACUUCCUGGACCAAUACUGACGCUGAGGCGCGAAGGCGUGGGGAGCAAACAGGAUUAGAAACCCUGGUAGUCC
rnacentral:rRNA from 1 species